rnacentral:rRNA from 1 species
UACAGAGGGGGCAAGCGUUGUUCGGAAUUACUGGGCGUAAAGGGCGCGUAGGUGGCCUGCUAAGUCGAACGUGAAAUCCCCGAGCUCAACUCGGGAACUGCGUCCGAUACUGGCAGGCUCGAAUCCGGGAGAGGGAUGUGGAAUUCCAGGUGUAGCGGUGAAAUGCGUAGAUAUCUGGAGGAACACCGGUGGCGAAGGCGACAUCCUGGACCGGUAUUGACGCUGAGGCGCGAAAGCCAGGGGAGCAAACGGG